rnacentral:rRNA from 1 species
UACAGAGGAUGCAAGCGUUAUCCGGAAUGAUUGGGCGUAAAGCGUCUGUAGGUGGCUUUUUAAGUCCGCCGUCAAAUCCCAGGGCUCAACUCUGGACAGGCGGUGGAAACUACCAAGCUGGAGUACGGUAGGGGCAGAGGGAAUUUCCGGUGGAGCGGUGAAAUGCGUAGAGAUCGGAAAGAACACCAAUGGCGAAGGCAGGUCACUGGGCCGCAACUGACGCUGAGGAGCGAAAGCAUGGGGAGCGAACAGG